rnacentral:rRNA from 1 species
GCUAACGUUGUGCCAGUGCCCGGGUUAAUAGGAAGGGGGCUGGGGUUGCCCGGGAGUACUUGGCUUAAAGCGCACGUAGUCGGCUUGUUAAGUCAGGGUGGAAAUCCUGGAGCUCAACUCCAGAACUGCCUUUGAUACUGGCGAGCUUGAGUUCGGGAGAGGUGAGUGGAACUGCGAGUGUAGAGGUGAAAUUCGUAGAUAUUCGCAAGAACACCAGUGGCGAAGGCGGCUCACUGGCCCGAUACUGACGCUGAGGUGCGAAAGCGUGGGGAGCAAACAGGAUUAGAUACCCUAGUAGUC